rnacentral:rRNA from 1 species
AUGGCGGCAAAGAAACAUCUCUUUCGCUUUGGGUCUUUCGCGAUAAAGAACGAGUCGGAAAUUCGUUUAUGGGAAGACAUCUGGCUAGGCAAUGCCAGUCUCAGAGAACAAUACCCAGCCUUAUAUAACAUCGCUUGUGAAAAGAAUAAUAUUAUUGCGCAUGUGCUCGGCUCUUCCCCGCCGAAUAUUUCGUUCAAGCGGGAUUUGAUUGGCCCCCGACUUGUGUCAUGGCAUAAUCUUUUAUCCCGACUUGAUUCGAUUAACCUGACACAAGGCCAGGAUGUGUUCCGCUCAAACCUUACUACAUCAAGGUCUUUCACAGUUAUUUUCCAGUGUACGCACUCGCUACGUAUGUGGUCUUAUGCUACAACGGCCGGAGUACCAACCGCUGUUCAUGGCGUUGUGUACGCGAUUGGAGCAGGUGGGUACGGAGGUUUUUUCCCAACAUGGGUGGUAGAAUAA